GUUCGAUUCUGGCUCAGAUUGAACGCUGGCGGGAUGCUACGCUGCAAGUCGAACUGACAGCCUGGACUUCGGUCUGUUUGGCGGUGAACAGGUGAGUAAUGUAUCAGAACGUGCCCCUGAAAUGGCAGGGGAUAACUGCGAAGAAGCUGACAGCUAAUACCACCUUACGCCCUUCAGGGAAGCGGGGAUAGCUGGGCCUCGCACUAUUAGAGCGGUGAUGUGGAUUAGCUAGUUGGUGGGGUAACGGCUCGCAGGCGACCCAAUCCGUAGCUGGUUUGAAGACGACCAGCCACACUGGGACUGGGAGCCUGGCUGAGCUCCUACAAGAAGGAGGCAGCAGUGAGGAAUUUUGGACAAUGUCUGGAAACCUGAUCAGCCAUCCCCGCGUGUGCGAUGAAGGCCUUCGGUUUAGCCAAGCACUUUGGCAUGAAAGAAACGGCUGGGAUAAUGCCCCGUACAACUGGCGGUACUGCAGGCUAUACCGGCUAAACUGCGUGCUGUAGCCGCGGUGAUGCAAUGGGAGUGCAAGCGUUAAUCGGAUACUGGGCGUAAAGCGUGCGCAGGCGGUUCGGAAAGAAAGAUGUAAAUGGAAGCAACUGAGCUGCAUUUUCAACUACCGACUGCAGUGUCAGAGGAGGGUUGAUUUCGCGUGCUGCCAGUGAAAUGCGUAAAUGCUGAGGAGGAACACCGAUAGCGAAGGCAGCCUCCUGGGAUAACACCUGACAUCUGCACGAAAGCGUGAGGAGCAAGCAAGUUAGAUGCCUAAGUAGUCCCACGCCCUAAACGAUAAUCAACUGGCUGUUGGGCCUUCGGGCCUUGGUAAGCGCAGCUAACGCGUGAAGUUGACCUUGGAAAUCUGGUCGCAAGAUUAAAACUCAAGGAAUUGGCAGGGACCCGCACAAGCGGUGGAUGAUGGUUAAUUCAGAUGCAGCAUGAAAAACCUUACCUACCCUUGACAUGUCUGGAGUCGAAGAGAUUUGAGAUUGCUCGCAAGAGAACCGGAACACAGAGUGCUGCAUGGCUGUCGUCUGGCUCAGUGUCGUGAGAUGUUGGGUUAAGUCCCGCAACAGGCGCAACCCUUGUCAUUAGUUGCUACGAAAGGGCACUCUAAUGAGACUGCCGGUGACAAGCCGGAGGAAGGUGGGGAUGACGUCAGUCCUCACCUUUUGGCCCUUAUGGUGUUAAAGACUACACAAUCAUACAAUGGUCGGGACAGAGGGUCGCCAACCCCGCGAGGAGCCAAUCCCGAGAAACCCGAUCGUAGUCCGGAUCUGAUCUGCAACUCGACUUCAGCGUAGUCAGAAUCGCUAGUAAUCGCGGAUCAGCAUGUCGCGGUGAAUACGUUCGGGUCUUGUACCCACCGCCCGUCACACCAGCAGAAUGGUUUUACCAAAAGUAGUCAGCCUAACCGUAAGAGGCGAUUGCCACGGUAGAAGUUCAUGGCUGGGAAUUACACGAUCGUAACAAGGUAA
rnacentral:rRNA from 1 species